rnacentral:rRNA from 1 species
UACAGAGGUCUCAAGCGUUGUUCGGAUUCAUUGGGCGUAAAGAGCGUGUAGGCGGCCUGACAAGUCUGCUGUGAAAACUCGAGGCUCAACCUCGAGAUGUCGGCGGAAACUGUCUGGCUAGAGUCCGGAAGAGGAGACUGGAAUUUACGGUGUAGCGGUGAAAUGCGUAGAUAUCGUAAGGAAGACCAGUGGCGAAGGCGGGUCUCUGGACAGUUCCUGACGCUGAGGCACGAAGGUCAGGGGAGCAAACGGG